CCUACGGGGGACAGCAGUGAGGAAUAUUGGUCAAUGGGCGCGAGCCUGAACCAGCCAAGUAGCGUGAAGGAUGACUGCCCUACGGGUUGUAAACUUCUUUUAUAAAGGAAUAAAGUGAGGCACGUGUGCCUUUUUGUAUGUACUUUAUGAAUAAGGAUCGGCUAACUCCGUGCCAGCAGUCGCGGUAAUACGGAGGAUGCGAGUGUUAUCCGGAUUUAUUGGGUUUAAAGGGUGCGCAGGCGGAAGAUCAAGUCAGCGGUAAAAUUGAGAGGCUCAACCUCUUCGAGCCGUUGAAACUGGUUGUCUUGAGUGAGCGAGAGGUAUGCGGAAUGCGUGGUGUAGCGGUGAAAUGCAUAGAUAUCACGCAGAACUCCGAUUGCGAAGGCAGCAUACCGGCGCUCAACUGACGCUCAUGCACGAAAGUGUGGGUAUCGAACAGGAUUAGAUACCCCUGUAGUC
rnacentral:rRNA from 1 species